rnacentral:rRNA from 1 species
AGGGAAUAUUGGACAAUGGGCGCAAGCCUGAUCCAGCCAUGCCGCGUGAGUGAAGAAGGCCCUCGGGUUGUAAAGCUCUUUUGUCCGGAAAGAAAAGCAUCCAGUUAAUACCUGGGUGUCCUGACGGUACCGGAAGAAUAAGCACCGGCUAACUUCGUGCCAGCAGCCGCGGUAAUACGAAGGGUGCAAGCGUUACUCGGAAUUACUGGGCGUAAAGCGUGCGUAGGUGGUUUGUUAAGGCUGAUGUGAAAGCCCUGGGCUCAACCUGGGAAGGGCAUUGGAUACUGGCAGGCUAGAGUGCGGUAGAGGGUAGUGGAAUUCCCGGUGUAGCAGUGAAAUGCGUAGAGAUCGGGAGGAACAUCUGUGGCGAAGGCGACUACCUGGACCAGCACUGACACUGAGGCACGAAAGCGUGGGGGGCAAAC